GUACUGUGAAGAGUCCCAAACUAGGACGAAACAGUCGUCCAGUAC
rfam:Trichobilharzia regenti genome assembly, scaffold: TRE_scaffold0009544